AAUCUUCCGCAAUGGACGCAAGUCUGACGGAGCAACGCCGCGUGAGUGACGAAGGCCUUCGGGUCGUAAAACUCUGUUAUCAGGGAAGAACAAGCAUUGGUUAACUGCCGGUGCCUUGACGGUACCUGACCAGUAAGCCACGGCUAACUACGUGCCACCAGCCGCGGUAAUACGUAGGUGGCAAGCGUUGUCCGGAAUUAUUGGGCGUAAAGCGCGCGCAGGCGGCUUCUUAAGUCUGAUGUGAAAGCCCACGGCUCAACCGUGGAGGGUCAUUGGAAACUGGGAGGCUUGAGUGCAGAAGAGAAGAGCGGAAUUCCACGUGUAGCGGUGAAAUGCGUAGAGAUGUGGAGGAACACCAGUGGCGAAGGCGGCUCUUUGGUCUGUAACUGACGCUGAGGCGCGAAAGCGUGGGGAGCGAACA
rnacentral:rRNA from 1 species